UAAGGCAAAUUGAUGAAUUGACCAUAUUCAGCGUCGCCAUAUUGAAUUGCGACAAUACCAACUACCCAGGGUUCCCAACGGAGAAAUAUUGAGUUUACUAGAAAAAUACCGUACCGAUUAUCAGUAUGAAAAAUUGAACUGAAGAUAAAAUCCAGGAAAUAUGGGUAGAUAUCAAUAUAGUGGAGGCAGUCGUUGUUGUGUCAGUAAUUGUUCAGCAAGAAAUAGAUGUAAAAAUGAAAAAACUUACACCAAAAUAUUCUCUACAAAAUGUAAUGGCAAAAUACUAAAAUUCUGUCUGAAACAUUUCCAAGAUUACCAGGCUCUAAAAAAAGAAGAGGUCAAUUCAUCCAAUGAUUCGACCAAUGCUAGCUACAACGUUGGAGGUAAAUCCGUAGAAAACUCUUUUCAAUAAGUACUUUUGACAUAUUGUCACCCCCAGUAAAACAAUUGUAGCACCAAUUAUAAGGAAUGAAAUAUGGAAUGUCUACUUGUCAGUGUAGAAUAGAGAUAAUUUUUCAGUUCAUAGUAUCCAUCCUUGUACUCUAAUGAGGGACUUUGUGAAAAUCAUAGACUGUCUAUUCGACAAAUUAUUUUUCAGAAUUCCAAGCACAAAUUAAACUGUCAAUGAAGAAAUCUGUCGACUUCGACCACAAUUAUUAUUUCCAACAAAAUGACUUAAACAAGUUACAAAAUCUGCUGAACUAUGUUCACCACCUUGAAAUGAAGAUCGAGGAACAUAAGAUGAAACAUUCUACCAACUCCAUUCAGUCUUCAAUCAAUGAUCCCCACUUUCUAAGCUUCUACACAGAGCUUCUACACAGGAUUCAGUGAUGUCAUUACCUACAAGAUUUUUACAAGCAUAAUCAUCAAGCAUGCACUGGCAUACAGAAAAAAGUACUUGGGCAAGGACAACAGUAAUCUGGGAAUGGACUAUGAAAAUCAGAUAUUCAUAGUUUUAGUAAGGCUUCGUCUUGGUCUCUUAGAAGAAGAUAUCGCAUAUAGAUAUGAUAUUUCCCAGUCCACAGUCUCCAGAAUGUUUAGGUUUUGGAUAAAUGUGAUGUAUUCAUAUUUCAUACAGAUACCUAUUUGGCCUUCGAGAGAAAUCGUGAAAAAGUAUAUGCCAGAAUGUUUCAUCAGUAAAUAUCCUAGUACAAGAAUUAUUCUGGAUGGAACUGAGAUUUUUAUUGAAAAACCUUCAGAUUAUACAGUGCAGAGUAGCACAUAUUCUGUGUAUAAGGCACAUAAUACCGCCAGGGGCAUAAUUGGAAUAACACCUAAUGGAUUUGUGUUUCAUAUCAGAACUCUACCCGGGUAGAACUUCUGAGAGAGAAAUAAUUUUAAAUAGUGGCUUACUGGAAAAGCUGGAACCAGGGGACUCAGUAAUGGCUGAUAAGGGGUUCACAAUUUCCAAAGAACUUGCAGAUAUUGAUGUUGAUUUGAAUAUACCACCAUUUUCAUAUGGCAAUAAUCAACAAUUCACUGACGCAGAUGAAACUCUGACUAGGGAUAUUGCAAGUGUUCGUGUUCAUGUUGAGAGAAUUAUAAGAAAUGUGAAAUUAAACAGAAUAUUGCGCUGUAGCAUUCCAAAUACUAUGGCUGACCAAUUGAACCAAAUUUGGGUGGUGUGUUGCCAUCUGACAAAUUUUAGAAAAAAACCCCUGUUGGAUAUAAAAAUCAAGAAAAAAUAGAAGAACAGGAGAUUAUAAGUUCAUUUCAGAUGUAUAUUAUUUGUAUUUUUGUUAUAAAAUAUUUAUGAAAA